rnacentral:miRNA from 1 species
GAUGUAAAAGGUCUGAAGCCC